UACGGAGGGUGCAAGCGUUAAUCGGAAUUACUGGGCGUAAAGCGCACGUAGGCGGUCUUUUAAGUCGGGGGUGAAAUCCUGGAGCUCAACUCCAGAACUGCCUUCGAUACUGGAAGACUUGAGUCCGGGAGAGGUGAGUGGAACUGCGAGUGUAGAGGUGAAAUUCGUAGAUAUUCGCAAGAACACCAGUGGCGAAGGCGGCUCACUGGCCCGGUACUGACGCUGAGGUGCGAAAGCGUGGGGAGCAAACAGG
rnacentral:rRNA from 1 species